GUACGGAAGGCAGCAGUAGGGAAUAUUGGGCAAUGGACGCAAGUCUGACCCAGCCAUGCCGCGUGCAGGAAGAAUCACCUAUGGUGUGUAAACUGCUUUUUUACGGGAAGAAACCCCUGGAUGCGUCCGGGGCUGACGGUACCGUAAGAAUAAGGAUCGGCUAACUUCGUGCCAGCAGCCGCGGUAAGACGAAGGAUCCAAGCGUUGUCCGGAUUUACUGGGUUUAAAGGGUGCGUAGGCGGAACUUUAAGUCAGUGGUGAAAGCCUCCCGCUUAACGGGAGAACUGCCAUUGAAACUGAUUUUCUUGAAUACAGUGGAGGUAGAUGGGAUAUAACAUGUAGCGGUGAAAUGCUUAGAUAUGUUAUAGAACACCAAUUGCGAAGGCAGUCUGCUACACUGUGAUUGACGCUGAGGCACGAAAGCGUGGGGAGCAAACAGGAUUAGAUACCCCAGUAGUCCC
rnacentral:rRNA from 1 species